UUGCGCUAGGCGGGAAGCUAGCGGUGUCCUGUCACCCGAAAUCCGCUUAUGCGGGGCUGAAUCCCCUUUUGCGGGUUCAUGGUUCCAUGUCCCAAGAGGUGUCCCUGGUCGGGCACCACGCAACAGACGAUUACGAACCCCGUCAGAUCCGGAAGGAAGCAGCGGUAAGUAAACCUGUCUGUGUCGUGGCACGGCUUCGGCCAAAACAUGGCAACUUGAGGCGCCGUGGAAAGGGCUCAACGAAGGGUGCGCAA
rnacentral:SRP_RNA from 1 species